rfam:Streptomyces nodosus strain ATCC 14899 genome.
CUUCAGCGAGCCGACGAGCACGGGCCGCUCGCGGUCCUGCCCGUAGGUGGCGAGCAGGGCCUGCGCCUC